CGAGAGGCUAAUUUAUCUAGUAAACAAAAAAUGUAAAUUGAUAAGUAAAAAGGUAAAUCUCAACACUUUCCUUUUCUUAGAAUUUAAAAUUUUAUCAGAUUAAGGAAAAAAAAAAAAAGGAUAUUGUGGGAGAUAUGAUAUUUUGCAAGGAUAGUUUAUGUAUUUACUUGCUAGAUGAGAAGAGUCAUUGCGAAGGUCGGUUUCUAGAGUCUAAACUUGGUUCCGGC
rnacentral:lncRNA from 1 species